AUCUAGCUGACGCGUCCCAAACUGGAUGAAACGCACGUCCUAAAU
rnacentral:hammerhead_ribozyme from 1 species